UGGGCUACACACGUGCUACAAUGGACGGUACAAAGGGCUGCAAGACCGCGAGGUUUAGCCAAUCCCAUAAAACCGUUCUCAGUUCGGAUUGUAGGCUGCAACUCGCCUACAUGAAGCUGGAAUCGCUAGUAAUCGCGGAUCAGCAUGCCGCGGUGAAUACGUUCCCGGGCCUUGUACACACCGCCCGUCACACCACGAGAGUUUGUAACACCCGAAGUCGGUGAGGUAACCUUUCGGAGCCAGCCGCCUAAGGUGGGACAGAUGAUUGGGGUGAAGUCGUAACAAGGUAGCCGUAUCGGAAGGUGCGGCUGGAUCACCUCCUUUCUAAGGAA
rnacentral:rRNA from 1 species